rnacentral:rRNA from 1 species
GAAGCGAAGCCGCGAGGUGGAGCAAACCUCACAAACAGCGUCUCAGUUCAGAUUGCAGGCUGCAACCCGCCUGCAUGAAGUCGGAAUUGCUAGUAAUCGCGGAUCAGCAUGCCGCGGUGAAUACGUUCCCGGGCCUUGUACACACCGCCCGUCACACCAUGAGAGCCGGGGGGACCCGAAGUCCGUAGCCUAACCGCAAGGGGGGCGCGGCCGAAGGUAAAACUGGUGAUUGGGGUGAAGUCGUAACAAGGUAAC